rnacentral:rRNA from 1 species
UACGUAGGGGGCUAGCGUUGUCCGGAUUUAUUGGGCGUAAAGAGCGUGUAGGCGGCCAGGUAGGUCAGCUGUGAAAACUCGAGGCUCAACCUCGAGAUGUCGGCUGAAACCAUCUGGCUAGAGUCCGGAAGAGGAGAAUGGAAUUUCCGGUGUAGCGGUGAAAUGCGUAGAUAUCGGAAGGAACAUCAGUGGCGAAGGCGACUUCCUGGACCAAUACUGACGCUCAGGUGCGAAAGCGUGGGGAGCAAACAGG